rnacentral:lncRNA from 1 species
AUAAAAUGUUUGCAUGUCAAAACUUCCUACAGCAAAGUUGUAGCAAAUUUUAUAAGGAACAAAAGUUGUUUUAUGGCCAUCUCAUGAAAAUGACCACAAAUAGCUCAAACGUGGCCCACAAGGCAGAUUUGGGGCUGUUUUCCACACUUAGAAAAUUUUCUAAGUCCCGGGUGGUUUGCAGUUUGCACGAUCGAUUUUGGAAACUCCAUAUCUUUCAAUCCAGGCCGAUCUAGUCUUUGCUCUAGUUGAC